GUGGGUGGUGUUCUAAGUGUCUAAACGUGUGGCCACUUGUUACACAGAACAGGAAACUAACACAAAACUGAAAUUCGAACUGUGAAAUAUCAGAAAACUUCAAGGGGCAUCGACUGGGACCCCCGCCCCCUCCCAUCUCCAUGUGGCUUCGGGGGUUGGGGGAGCGAUGAGAAGGAUUCUGAGCUUGCCCCUGGGUCCAUGGGAAUGGCACCAUCAUGGGGCGGCGAUGUCCCUGGAUGGCAGCUGGGGAGUGUGGCACAUGGGCCAUAUGUGCAGGCUCGGGCUCGACCGAAGGCUUCAUAUCAGCCUGCUGGGGAGAUGGCCCCACAGGUGCUCCUUCCCCACCUCGCACCCCAUGUCACCUGCCUUCCUCUUUGAGAUGAUAGAUAAUGCCAUCACGCCCUGCAUCCUGGUCCGGGCAGCCGUGAGCAUCCUGCUCCACAGACAACAAAGCCAGGAAUCGCAGCCGCUGGUGAUUCCAUCCAGGGCCAGACGGGGAGCCCCCGUUCCCCUCCCCCGACUCUGGCACCCACGGGCCUCGCGCCUCUGCAGUCCUCCUGGUCCCCUGCUUCUCCUCCCUCAAGAUGCUUCUCCUGCAUCACCCCCACCCCUGCCCCACAGAGACUCCCCAGCCCCCCACGAAGCUAAUCCCACCCAGAUCUGAGGAAGCCAGAUUGUCAACCAACUACCUCAUGCUCUGCUUGGGCUCCAUCUCAUGUGUCAGGGGGGCGCCCUGCUGUCCAG
rnacentral:lncRNA from 1 species